rnacentral:rRNA from 1 species
GACGAACGCUGGCGGCGUGCUUAACACAUGCAAGUCGAACGGAAAGGCCCUGCUUUUGUGGGGUGCUCGAGUGGCGAACGGGUGAGUAACACGUGAGUAACCUGCCCUUGACUUUGGGAUAACUUCAGGAAACUGGGGCUAAUACCGGAUAGGAGCUCCUGCUGCAUGGUGUGGGUUGGAAAGUUUCGGCGGUGGGGGAUGGACUCGCGGCUUAUCAGCUUGUUGGUGGGGUAGUGGAUGACCAAGGCUUUGACGGGUAGCCGGCCUGAGAGGGUGACCGGCCACAUUGGGACUGAGAUACGGCCCAGACUCCUACGGGAGGCAGCAGUGGGGAUUAUUGCACAAUGGGCGGACGCCUGAUGCAGCAACGCCGCGUGCGGGAUGCCGGCCUUCGGGUUGUAAACCGCUUUCGCCUGUGACGAAGCGUGAGUGACGGUAAUGGGUAAAGAAGCACCGGCUAACUACGUG